GCCCGGGUGGUGAAAUUGGUAGACACACAAGACUUAAAAUCUUGCGCUUAAUAGGCGUACCGGUUCGAUUCCGGUCCCGGGCA
rnacentral:tRNA from 1 species